rnacentral:misc_RNA from 1 species
GAUGAAGAACGUAGCGAAAUGCGAUAACUAAUGUGAAUUGCAGAAUUCCGUGAAUCAUCGAGUCUUUGAACGCACAUUGCGCCCCCUGGUAUUCCGGGGGGCAUGCCUGUCCGAGCGUCAUUGCUGCCCUCAAGCACGGCUUGUGUGUUGGGCCUCCGUCCUCCUCCCGGGGGACGGGCCCGAAAGGCAGCGGCGGCACCGCGUCCGGUCCUCGAGCGUAUGGGGCUUCGUCACCCGCUCUUGUAGGCCCGGCCGGCGCUUGCCGACACAUCAAUCUUUUUUCCAGGUUGACCUCGGAUCAGGUAGGGAUACCCGCUGAACUUAAGCAUAUCAAUAAGCGGAGGA